rnacentral:misc_RNA from 1 species
ACUUCAACGGGGAGGUUCAGGAGAUGGAGAAUGUUAAUUUCAGUGAUUCUGAGCUAAUUUCUCAUGUCAGGGAUGGUCUUAUUUCGGUCCGACCGAUAAGCGUCUUGCUAUUUUGUGCAAUUCAUGUAUCGACUUGUUAAUGUUGUCUCAGAGUUUUUUUCCUUCUUCUUUUCGUGUUCCUUGACCUGAUUAUUAAGGCAGAUACACUCCUACAGUUGCUGGCGCUGGUGGGUUUAAGAAGAUUUUCUUCUUUUUCGUUUAAAUCCUUAAUAACAAUUGAAUUUUAUCCCUCUCUUGGUGAUUCACAGUAUUGACGCC